rnacentral:rRNA from 1 species
GUCUCCCCCCUUCAAUCAGUGAAACUGAUCCCCUCGUGAAGAAGCGAGGAUGAUCAUAUAAGACGAGAAGACCCCAUGGAGCUUUAAACUUGCACCACUGCCUUGCACCUUCACCUAAACAUCACGGCAUCCUGGCAACAAGUCUUUCGGCUGGGGCGACCACGGAGAAAAACAAAACCUCCAUGAUGAAAGGAACCCCCUAAUCAAAGGGCUACCACCCUAAGAAUCAAUAAAUUGACACAUUGACCCAAACAUUUUGAUCAACGAACCAAGUUACCCUGGGGAUAACAGCGCAAUCCAUUUCGAGAGACCCUAUCAACAAAUGGGCUUACGACCUCG